rnacentral:lncRNA from 10 species
AAAGAUAAAGAAACAGCCACGUGGACGUGUGGUGGAAGAUCGUUUGAAGGAGGAGAAGAGCAAGUCAAAGGCCCUGAGGCAAGAGCACACUGGGCAUGUUCAAGCAUCGGGUGCUAUGGGAUACCUGCAUUUCACUGUACAACCUUGGACUCUCCCUCCCUCCAUGAGCAAUAGGAGAACUCCUAGGAACAAGUCUAACACUAGGACUUCCAGCAAUCUUGAGACUAAAGCCAGAGGUCACGUGAACUACAUAAACUAAAUUCCUCCAAAUACAAACCAAGCUUCCCACCCCAACUCUCCUUAGCUGAAAGGGUGCUCACAGGUACUCCAACACCUCCUGAAGUGUGUUGGAAGUGUGCCCAAGUGGAAAGCAUCAAUAUACUUCAUCAAUUGCUAAGAAGAUAUCAUAUUGUAAUGUUAUUAGUAAUUCAAUUAUUAAAAUGUAUUAGUGUUA